rnacentral:rRNA from 1 species
UCUUGGUUAUAAAUCAAUUAAUAAUUUAAUUUACCAGAGUACUAUGAAUCAUUAUAAAAUUUAAAACUCAAAGGGCUUGGCGGUGUUUUAGACCACUUAGGGGAACCUGUCUCAUAAUCGAUAAUCCACGAGAUACCUGACUUUUUUUUGUAUUCAGCUUGUAUACCGUUGUCGUCAGGUAACUUUUUAGAAAUUAGAAGUUAGCUAUCAGCUAUAUAAGCUUAAACGUCAAAUCAAGGUGCAGCCCAUAAAAGAGGGAGGAUGGGUUACAAUUAUAAAUUCAUAAUACGAAGAACUAUAAGAAUAAAUAGUUAUGAAGGAGGACUUAAAAGUAAAAAGAUAUAGAUAAAUAUUUUGAAUAAGGCUCUGAAACGUGC